UCCUCAAAGGCCAGAUGGUGUAG
rnacentral:piRNA from 1 species